ensembl:snoRNA
CUGGCCCUGAAUCAAGGCCGUCGGUUUGCUGUAGCCGUUGGUUUCAAGCAGGAGCCCAGAGGAAACGUCUCCCUGUCUGUUGGUGCUCCCAUCCCGUGGAACAGCCAAUUCGUGAGGGAGCAACAAAG